rnacentral:lncRNA from 10 species
GACUUGGUUCACCGGUUAAAACGCAGAGGGAGAUGGAAAUGACCAGGAGUCGAAAGGAGAAGUAACAAUGCCUGGAUUUUAUUCAGAUGCUGUGUACCCAGCCAAAAGACUACAUUUCUCAAUCUCCAUUGUAGCUGGAUGUGGCUGUGUGAUCAAGUUAUGACCAAUGAGAUAUAAGUAGAAGUAGCUUGGCCAGACACAGUGGCUCACACCUGUAAUCCCAGCCCUUUGGGAGGCCAAAGCAGGAGGAUCACUUGCACUCAGGAGUUGGAAACUGCAGACCAGCCUGGAGAACACAGUGACACCUUGUCUCUACACAAAAUGAAAAAGUUAGCAGGGUAUGGUGGCAUGUGCCUGUGGUCCCAGCUACUUCCAGCUACUUGGGAGGCUAAAAUGGAAGGAUCGCUUGAGCCUGGGAGAUUGAGGCCUCAGUGAGCCAUGAUCAUGCCACUGUACUCCAGCCUGGGUGACAAGAGCAAGACCCUGUCUCUCAAAAAAAAAAAAACGCGGCUGGGUGGAACAUCUGGAAAACAUCUUUAAAGAACGCUGACUCAAUCAGGAGGAGCACCAUUUUGUUUCUUGCCCUCUGCCCUUCCUGCCUGAAACAGGUAAGUGCCCUCUGUGUACCAAAAAGGAAUGUACUGUUUAUAGAGACUUCAAAUCAGCAGAAAAUUCAAAUAGUUAUAACUUUUCUUUAUAAUCCAUCAUGAAAAAGAGUAACGACAAGUAAGCAAACUAAUAUCAGCUAUUUCAAUAGUUUCUUUUCCUUUUUUUUCUUUUUGAGACAGAGUCUCGACAGGAUGGAGUGCAGUGGUGCAAUCUCAGCUCACUGCAACCUCCGCUUCCCGGGUUCAAGCGAUUCUCCUGCCUCAGCCUCCUGAAUAGGUGGGACUACAGGUGCAUGCCACCAUGCCCAGCUAAUUUUUGUAUUUUUAGUAGAGAUGGGGUUUCACCAUGUUGACCAAGAUGGUCUCCAUCUCUUGACUCGUGAUCCGCCCACCUCGACCUCCCAAAGUGCUGGGAUUACAGGCGUGAGCCACCGCGCCCGACCUUUUUUUUUUCUUUUUUUAAUAAGUUUUUGUUCUGUCACCCAGACUGGAAUGCAGUGGUGUAGUUGUCGCUCACUGCAGCCUCUAACUCCUGGGCUCAAGGGAUCCUCCUGCCUCAGCCACCCCAAGUGCUGGGAUUACAGGCGUGAGACACUGCACCUGGCCUAAAUACAAUUUCCAAGCAGAUAUGACUGUUAACUUACUUUGUUGAACCAAAAAAAACGUAGCUAAGAUAUUGGCAAAAACUAAGAAAACAUCUUUUUUGGAUUCUCAUGUCUACAUUUCAGCCUAUUAUUUGGAAUGAAUUCCUACAUGUGCAUAAUGAAUUGUACCACUCUAAGCCUAUUGACUCUUUGUUACUUCACUGUGUGUGUUUCCUGGAUAUGGCUGAAUUAUCCUGAAAACCUAUAAUUUCCUGUUUCCCUGAUCUCCAGGAGACUAUUUUAUGCUUCUCUACUAAUAUUUAUGAUGUGUAUAUGUUAGUCUCCUGUAUUGACUCCACUCCUGUUUAUGACCCUCUUCCUGUAUACAAUACCCGUCAUACCUCAUUGACCUUGCCCAUCCCCUAGUUGUGGCUUCUCUGACCUGCCUUCAUCUUUUGCUACCCCAAAUCCCGUAUAACAUACUGUGUGCUAGGCUUAAUGUGCUGGUCAUUUGCCUGCUUGCUCUCAGAUUCAUUAUUUUUGUCCUUCUCUUACUCUGUCUAUGUCACAGGAAGCUGAUUCCUGCCAACUGCAUUUCCUGGGCUCAUUUAACCAUGCCCAGAAGGAAUUAGGACAAUGAAAGAUAAAAAGAUAAAGGAGCCAACAUAUCCUCUCCCCUUUGAUUCAGACGACUUCUCCACCAUCACCUUCUUCACAAUGGCCACUUUUCCUCUGCAGUUGGGGUUCUUCUUCCCCAGCAAUGGCUCCAGGACUCUGUUAACUCAGCUCCUCCCCAGUUCUAGAGGUAGACGGUAGAGGCUUCCUGCUAUUGUUACUCUGGGGUUCCCCUUCUUCUCCAGUUUGGCUUUCCAGCCCUUCCAACUCCUUUGUAACUAGUUCCUGGUAUCAAAUUCACUUAACUGAACUACCUGACUUCGGCCCUGAUGUUUGAGUGGACCCCAUCUCACACACUGAGGUUGACAAUACUUGGCAAGUUGUUAGGCGAAGAGCAAAACAAUAAUCAUAAUCAUAGAAGCAUUCAUGUAGGUAUUGCAAGGCUCACAUCUCCAAAAUGUCCAGUGGAGACAUGAAAUAAUGAAUAUGUUACAUAGUGACAGUCAUUUAAAAUUUUUCAAAAGCCACUUUCAUUUUGUUCUUUUCUUCAUUCUUUAGUAAUCCCCCAUCAAUAGAGAAACUAUGGGGGAAAGGAGCAGAGUAUACAAAGAAUGAUGCCCACAGUGAGCCCAAAAUAGCUCCAAGUGGAUUUGCCUGCACGAAAGAAAGAUGUAAUCAGCACCCAGAGUAGGUAGCGAAACAGUCAACACUGCUGUUCCUCUCAAGACCCCUGCUGCUCUCCCACCAGAAACGUAGUCGCUCUCUGCAUUAAUUUGAUCUUCCCAUGACGUGAAAGCAUCAAUUAUAAGUUGUACGAUAAGUCAAGCUUAUUAUAUGUAAGAGUCCAGGCCAGGCGCAGUGGCUCACGCCUGUAAUCCCAGCACUUUGGGAGGCCAAGGCGGGUGGAUCACAAGGUCAGGACCUCGAGACCAUCCUGGCUAACAUGGUGAAACCCUGUCUCUACUAAACAAAAUACAAAAAAUUAGCCGGGCGUGGUGGCGGGUGCCUGUAGUCCCAGCUACUUGGGAGGCUGAGGCAGGAGAAUGGCGUCAACCCGGGAGGCAGGGCUUGCAGUGAGCUCAGAUCACGCCACUGCACUCCAGCCUGGGCGACAAAGCAAGACUCUGUCUC